rnacentral:rRNA from 1 species
CUACACGGGUAUCUAAUCCUGUUCGCUCCCCACGCUUUCGUGCCUCAGCGUCAGUUAUGGCCUAGUCAGCUGCCUACGCAAUCGGUGUUCUUGAGGGUAUCUAAGCAUUUCACCGCUACACCCUCAAUUCCGCCGACCUCGUCCAUACUCAAGCCCACCAGUAUCAACGGCGGUUCCGGGGUUGAGCCCCGGGCUUUCACCGCUGACUUAAUGGGCCGCCUACGCACCCUUUAAACCCAAUAAAUCCGGACAACGCUUGCACCCUCCGUAUUACCGCGGCUGCUGGCAC